rnacentral:rRNA from 1 species
UACGUAGGUGGUAAGCGUUAUCCGGAUUUAUUGGGUGUAAAGGGCGUGUAGGCGGGAGCGCAAGUCAGAUGUGAAAACUCAGGGCUCAACCCUGAGCCUGCAUUUGAAACUGUGUUUCUUGAGUGCUGGAGAGGCAAUCGGAAUUCCGUGUGUAGCGGUGAAAUGCGUAGAUAUACGGAGGAACACCAGUGGCGAAGGCGGAUUGCUGGACAGUAACUGACGCUGAGGCGCGAAAGCGUGGGGAGCAAACAGG